CGACGCCGGGAGCUCCGGCCGGGCCGAGGCGGGAGUCGCGGUGCCUCUAGGUCUCGAGCGGGCCUGGCUUCCAGUCCCGGCCUGGACCUCUCGUGCAAGGGGCGGGAAAGGCGGGACGGGGAAAGAGGGGGCCCGAUGGAUCAGCGGGACAGUAUAGUCUGGUGGAGGAUGGCAUUGCGACAUUGACAUUGAGCAUGGAGAUGAGGAUGGAACUAGGCCUGGACCAAUCCCGGAAAACGCCAGGCCCUCCUUCUACCCCAGUCUGAGAGCACUGAUUUUGGGGCUCUCUCUUACAAGCCCCCAAAACCUGCAACUCCAGCCUCCCCUU
rnacentral:lncRNA from 1 species